GAUGAACGCUGGCGGCGUGCUUAACACAUGCAAGUCGAACGGAAAGGCCCAAGCUUGCUUGGGUACUCGAGUGGCGAACGGGUGAGUAACUCGUGGGUGAUCUGCCCUGCACUUCGGGAUAAGCCUGGGAAACUGGGUCUAAUACCGGAUAGGACCACAUUUUGGAUGGUGUGGUGGAAAGUUUUUCGGUGUGGGAUGAGCUCGCGGCCUAUCAGCUUGUUGGUGGGGUAAUGGCCUACCAAGGCGUCGACGGGUAGCCGGCCUGAGAGGGUGUACGGCCACAUUGGGACUGAGAUACGGCCCAGACUCCUACGGGAGGCAGCAGUGGGGAAUAUUGCACAAUGGGCGCAAGCCUGAUGCAGCGACGCCGCGUGGGGGAUGACGGCCUUCGGGUUGUAAACUCCUUUCGCUAGGGACGAAGCGUUUUUGUGACGGUACCUGGAGAAGAAGCACCGGCUAACUACGUG
rnacentral:rRNA from 1 species